AGUAUAUAACUGCAGGAGAUGCAGCUGUACUAACACAGAGGCCCCUAUCCACCCAGAGGCACUGAUAACCCUGCGGGAAGAAUAGCUCAGAGUUUACAUAUUGAUGCAUCCUCAAAUAUAAAGUCAAUGGAGCAGCAAUGGACUCAGCUGGCUUGGGAAGAGCUGCCAGAUUUUCAGAACAAUGCCACCCUCAUCAUCACCGUUAACGCCUCUCUCCUCCUCAGAAACAUCCCAGAUCCCAAC